CAAUGCUACUGUGUACAGACAGACUUGAGAGAGUGAGAACUAUAUUUAUAGACACUUUUAAGUGCCCACUUUUAUGUUUACAUUGUGCUUAAUGUUUCUUUAAGUUUAUUUACAAGUAAAAAGAUAAAUUGCAUAGAAAUAAACAUGAGAUUAAAUUGAAUGCAGCCUAAGAGUGUUUAUUUUGUCCAGAAAUCUGAACUCAAUUUUAACCUCCUAGAGACGUCCUAUGGAGGUCGAUAUUGGACGUCCAAAAGACGUCGAAAAAAGACGUCAUAAAAACUUUCAUUCUGGCUCUUCGAGGGACGUACUUUCGAAAAGACGCCGUUUCAACGUACUUUUGCUCAGUGGGAUUGCUGCCAGUAAUUUGAUUUUUAGCCUUGCAUGUACAGUGUUGAUCUAAAUGCAAACUCGGAUCUAACUGAACAUACAAAUGUGUAUUUAUACAUGGUGCCAGGUGCGACGGUGAAACAACAUCGUGUUAUCAACGUUGAUUAACUUUUCAAAAUCAACACCUCAUUCAGCGUUAAUCCAAGGUCUGCAGAACGACCGUAAUUCACCCGUGAUGAAGGUGGCGCUCCUCCCCCAAAGAUGGAAGACCUGCUAAAACACCUCACCGAAGUGAGCAUCCAGCAGCAGAUCAUGGAGCACAUGGCCUCCUGACAAGGGGAAACUAAACGCGAGCCCGCCGCACUCCGCAUGACCACUGCCCUGCGAACUCUGCUACCUGACCCCCGUGCCCAGGCUGCACAGCCCAAGAUGACGGCGCAUGAUGACGUUGAAACAUUCUUCCAAAUGUUUAGAUUUUUAGAAUUCAGAAGUUGAUCCAUCCACACCAGGGAUUUAUUUAACUUAAGAUCCUUAAUGGCAUUGUGUCCGGUGUCUUCAAACCCAGCAGACGGGACAAAGUGAAUGCACAUCUUCAGUCCCAUGUCUAAAAAGCUGUUAUCCAUGGAGCUAUGAACAUCUUGAGCAUGUUGUGGCGGACGUGCACCGUGAAAUGGACUGAUGGACACGACGCACAUACAAACGGCAAACGAGGUAUGUCAGCGGUUAUAAUGGAUUGCGCUGUAUUGCUGUUGUGGAAGACGCUGUUGUAGUUGUUACAUUGGAUUGAAGUUGGAUUGGCAUUGGAUUGAACGAGCUUUGUGUUGCUCUUGCAUAUUUAUGGGCUCUCGCGUGCUGCCUAGCUACGUUCAUUCAUUGUUUGGCUCUGUGAGCGCGCUGUUUGAAAUGGAGCUCACAUUGUCCGUAGUGUUGGAGAAUGAAUUCUGAGGAUAUGGAGCACGCUGCUGAUAGCAGCAAACAAGAGCGUAAACCCAUGGCAAAGGCCUUGGUGGCUGAAAUUGAAGCCUUGCAAAGGGAUCGCAAGAGUAAAGUGAAUAAAGUGAAGAAUUUGAUUGGGUCAAUGAAAGAGCUGAUGAUAUGUGAUGACAAUGCGUCUCAAGUGUGUUCAAUGUUGAAAACGAUACAGUUGCUGAUGGAUGAUGCAUCUGUGUUACAUAAAAAAGUAUUGCCUCUACUACCUUUUGAGGAGCAAAAUAAACAAAAUGAAUGGUUUGACUCCAUUUUGAAACAUUAUAAUGGCUUAGUGGAUGACGUUCAACAAUGGACGACUGAAACUAGGAAAUUGAAUCCCUGCACUGAUCUUUCUAAUAUCUGUGAGCCUGUGGAUGGGGACGCCAUAUAUGCAACGUCUCAAGGGGUUUGUGCAUCUGAUAUUUCACCCUCUGUUGACGUGGUGUCCACGACACACCAUACUCAGCCCUCUAAUGUACAUCUACAAGCAGGAAUGGAUUCUGGGAACUUUGAAAAUGAAAUUCAACCAAUGGAUAGUGCUUCAAAUAUAAGCCAUAAAAGAUCUUCGGUAUCAACAUCACAUGGGUCUUGAUCAAGCCGAUCCUCCAUUCGACUUAAGGCUGAGGCAGAACUGGCUGCUUUAUUGGCUUCCCAACAAAUGCUGCAAAGGAAACAUGAUUUAGAGGAACAGGAGGAACUGUUGAGGAGAAGAAGGGAAAAACUGGAACUGGAAACUAAGAGACCAACUAGACAACUAGAGCCCCAGAUACA